rnacentral:RNase_P_RNA from 1 species
CUGCGCGAUCGGGCAACCGCCGGGCCCGCUUCUCAAAGCGUGGCCGGGAGGAAAGUCCGGUCUUCCCAGGGCAGCAUGCCGGCUAACGGCCGGGGGCCGUCGCCUCAAAACGCCGGCUACGGAAAGUGCCACAGAAAAUAUACCGCCUGUCGUGGGGUUGUCUGCCCAUUGCAGGUAAGGGUGAAAUGGUGCGGUAAGAGCGCACCGCGGCCGGAGCAAUCCGGCUGGCAGGGAAAACCCCAUGCGAAGCAAGACCAAAUAGGGGAGGAGGAGUGGCCCGCUCCGUUACUACUUCCGGGUAGGUCGCUCGAGCCUCUCAGCAAUGAGAGGCCUAGACGAAUGGUUGCCGCCGCGCGCCGGAGAGAUUCGGCAACGGCACAGAAACCGGCUUAUAGAUCGCGCAGGUUC